rnacentral:rRNA from 1 species
GACGAACGCUGGCGGCGUGCUUAACACAUGCAAGUCGAACGGAAAGGCCCUGCUUGCCGGGUGCUCGAGUGGCGAACGGGUGAGUAACACGUGGGUGAUCUGCCCCUUACUUUGGGAUAAGCCUGGGAAACUGGGUCUAAUACUGGAUAGGACCAUGCUGUAGGUGGUGUGGUGGAAAGAUUAGUUUCGGUAAGGGAUGAGCUCGCGGCCUAUCAGCUUGUUGGUGGGGUAAUGGCCUACCAAGGCGUCGACGGGUAGCCGGCCUGAGAGGGUGGACGGCCACAUUGGGACUGAGAUACGGCCCAGACUCCUACGGGAGGCAGCAGUGGGGAAUAUUGCACAAUGGGCGCAAGCCUGAUGCAGCGACGCCGCGUGGGGGAUGACGGCCUUCGGGUUGUAAACUCCAUUCAGCCAUGACGAAGCCCUUGUGGUGACGGUAGUGGUAGAAGAAGCACCGGCUAACUACGUG